CCUACGGGAGGCAGCAGUGGGGGAUAUUGCACAAUGGGGGGAACCCUGAUGCAGCGACGCCGCGUGGGUGAAGGAGUGCUUCGGCAUGUAAAGCCCUAUCGGCAGGGAAGAAGCAAGACGGUACCUGACUAAGAAGCCCCGGCUAACUACGUGCCAGCAGCCGCGGUAAUACGUAGGGUGCGAGCGUUAUCCGGAUUCACUGGGUGUAAAGGGAGCGUAGACGGCCAAGCAAGCCAGGGGUGAAAGCCCGGGGCCCAACCCCGGGACUGCCCUUGGAACUGCAUGGCUGGAGUGCGGGAGGGGCAGGCGGAAUUCCUGGUGUAGCGGUGAAAUGCGUAGAUAUCAGGAGGAACACCGGCGGCGAAGGCGGCCUGCUGGACCGCGACUGACGUUGAGGCUCGAAAGCGUGGGGAGCAAACAGGAUUAGAUACCCUAGUAGUC
rnacentral:rRNA from 1 species